UACGUAGGUGACCAGCGUUGUCCGGAUUUACUGGGCGUAAAGAGCGCGCAGGCGGUCGUGCAAGUCGCGUGUGAAAGCCCCCGGCUCAACUGGGGAGGGUCACGGCGAUACUGAUCGACUCGAAGGCAGGAGAGGGAAGCGGAAUUCCUGGUGUAGCGGUGAAAUGACGCAGAUAUCAGGAAGAACACCCGUGGCGAAGGCGGCUCUCUGGGACGGUACUGACGCUGAGACGCGAAAGCGUGGGGAGCGAACAGG
rnacentral:rRNA from 1 species